rnacentral:tRNA from 1 species
UUAAUUGAAACCAAAAAGAGGUAUGUUACUGUUAAUGACACAAAUGGGUUUUAACCCCAAUUAAA